AUUAGUCAUAAAGGAGAGGGAUUUGACUCUUUCUACCUGGGUUUAGAUGACUAAACCAAAGGAAAAUGGACAUCACCAAGAGGCAUCUCAGUUUAAUUUAAGGGAAGACUUCCUAAGAAUUUGAGCUAUCUCAAAGUGGAAUGGUCUGGGGACAUGUAGAGGAUGGGGCUUGAUAAUUGGCUCUGAAUACUUGAAAGACUGACAUGUGGAAGAGGGUUUAGACUUGUUCUGCUUGACUCCAGAGGGCAAAUUCAAGAACUUUGGGUAGAAGCUGCAAACAGGCAAAUUUUAGGUAUGGGUAUCAGCAAAACUUUUCUUACCACUCAAGUUAUGUGCUGGUGGGAUGGGCUGUUCCUCUUCACUAGAGGUCUUAGAGCAAAGGCUGCAGGAUCACUUGUUGGGUGUAUUUUACCAGAGAUUCUUUUUCAGACACUGUUUAGACAGACUUGUUUGCCUCCUGGAGCAUCUUUCAGUUUUGAGAUUCUAUGAUUCAUUUUUUUUCUUUCACAAAUUUUUGUCUAGUUUUAGGAGGCCUUUCAAUAAGCCAUUUACGGAGACAGGAGGCAGAUAGAGAAUGGCACUUCCAGAAACAGUUCUGUCUUUCUACUGGGGUCCCUUUUUUCUUCUCUAAAGAGCUGCUGUUGCUUUAGAGAUUUCACCCUAUGCCGCCAUUCUUCUUUUCAAAGUAUCCUGAGGAUGAAAUGAGAUGAGAGUGUUCUGUUAGGUGCUAUGAAAAUGUGCAAGUAUUAUUAUUAUUAUUAUUGCUUCAUGAGGCUUGUGAUCUGUCUCCUCUCCUCUUUCUUCACUUCCCUCACUCUCUUUCACUUCCCAUUCUUCUCCUGCUCUUUCCUUUUACAUCUUAUUGCUAUCUUUUAUUUCUACAUCACCUUUAUUUUCAAAUAUAUCCCUGUGCCUUUCUCUAUCCAAAGAGUCACCCUAAAUAAGAAAGAAUGAAAAAGAGAGGGUUUCGGGGAAGGAAAACAUUUUAGUGAAACUUAGCUGAGUUUUCAUCUCUACAAAGAAGAGAAGACAGUGCAUUUUUUAUCUUUUUUUUUUUGGCAGGGGGUGGGCACAGGACUUGUAAUCUUUCCAAUUACAGAACAUAACAUAAUUUUUUCUUUGUUUUUCCUCUGUUGGAGUUGGACACCUAUUAAGCUCAUAGUAAUAAGCUCCUUGAAGUUAGGAUCUAUCAUCUCUCUUUUUUUGGUGGUGGGGAAACUUGGUCAUUCUAAUUAUAGAACAUAAUUUUUUCACUGUUUUUCCUCUGCUGGAAUUGGACACCCAAGCAAAGAUCUCAUAGUAGCAUAUAAACUCCUUGAGGACAAGAUCUAUUAUCUCUAGGAUCUAGAUCUUGUGUAGACACUUGGUAAAUGCCUACAGUUUUAAAUAGAUUAGAAGGGCAGUGAAAAGUUGGGUCUAAAAGUGUGUGUGGCAGAGGGAAGGAGAUAAGGAAAUUUAUGGUAAGAGAAGCCUAUGAAGAAGCCUUUGAGUGGAUAAUCUUAGGAAAUAGUUCUUUUAUCCUGGCCAGGGAGGGGCCACCUUAGCAUUUUCCCAAAAGGCAGACAGCUCCACUUACCCUAUUGAGAAGGUGUUAAAAUGAGAUAUUGUACACAAAAUGUUUUGUAAACCCUCAAACAUUCUAUAAAGGUCAACUCAAAUAACAACAAUGACAAUUAUUGUGAUUAUAAAGAGGAAAAUACUGGGUCUAUUGUGUAAAUGCUUCACUGAAUCUCUCUAAUUCCCUACCUGCUUUUUCACUCUGCCAUGGAGAGCAAACUUUGGCGUUUUUGUCAUCCUCUAAAUCCCAGAAAGAAAGACUACAUAGUAUAGUGGAUGAAGGUUGGGCUUGCAGUCCAGAAGACCAGGAUUUAAAUCCUGUAUCAGUGAUUUAACUAGCUGUGUGACCCUGAAGCAAAUCAGUUGGGCUUUAGUUGCCUCAUUUGUAAAAUGGGUGGGUUGGACUUAAUAACCUCCCAGGUACUUUCUAACUCAAAAUCUAUGAUCCUUUGACAUGGAUUCAAAUCCUGGGUGAGCACUUACCACCCACAUGACCAUUAGCAAAUAAUUUCCUUUAUUUGCAUUUUUGGUUUCCUUUUUUGUACAAAAAAUGAGUUGAAUUUCUAAGGUUUCUUCUUGAUUGAAAUUCUAAGAUGCCCAAGAAUGACUUGUAAUCCAUCUCCUCCCCAUGAUUUUCUUUCUCUAUUUCUUUUUUUCUUUCAUUUUUUUAAAAUAUAGGAUUGACAUUCCUUCAAGAUUGGGAAACAUGUUUUUGUACUCUAUUUUCAGCACUCUCAGCCUGGAGCAUCCAAAUGCAAUGUAUGCACAUACCAGGUAGGCCAUAAAGGGUUGUUGAAUGAAUGUUAGACAAGUACAUUAGCAUUCUAUGACUUGUAUAGAAACUCAUUGUUUCUAUACUAAAGUUUUCCAAAAGUGAAGGGACAUCAGCAUAGGAUCACUUGUGUGAAAAGUCUAUGAGAUGGGUCCUUUGUCAUCCCUUCCCAGUCCAUAUAACGAAGAAAACUCAGACCCAUGGCUAGAGUGCCUGUUUGAAUGAUCUACUGCAUACAUUCCAUUUGUCAACCACAAGUUCAUUUCAAAAGCAGUCAAGAACAUUUUAUUCAAACUACCACUUGAAUUUUGGCAGAAAAAAAAAUUGCAUGUACACUUAGAGCCAAAAUCUACCCUCAACUAUGCACACGCUACUUUCAUUGAGAAGAAUAAGGAAGUUUCCCUGUCAAACCCAGCUCUAAGACCAGUCUGCAACUCUUUGUAAUCAAUGUGACAUUUAUUCUUCUCAUCUGUAGCAGAGUCAGGUGAGGUGAUUGUAGAGAGAAUAUAAAGAAAUACUCUUUUUCCUACCCCCUUCCAAAAAGACCUCUUAAAUGUCAAAUCAAAUUAAAUGAAAUCAUUGUAUCAGGGCAGAAUACAUAUAAGUUGCAGAUGUCGAUAGUGUAGUCCUUCAAUAAAUUCCCUUAGUCUCCAUGCUUUACUGGAGAUUUUAUUGACCUGGUCCAGAUUAAACAAAGUUCAAAUACACUUAUUAGUUGAACAAAUAUCAUUUGCUAGAGCAUGGAUCAAAUUCAUUUAACUGAAAUAAAUUUUUUCCCCUUUCACUCACAUUCUUUUUUCCUUCCCUCCUCCCUCCCUUUCUCCUUCCUUUUUCUCUGUCUUUUCUUUCUUUCUUUCUUUCUUUCUUUCUUUCUUUCUUUCUUUCUUUCUUUCUUUCUUUCUUUCUUUCUUUCUUUCUUUCUUUCUUUCUUUCUUUCUUUCUUUCUUUCUUUCUCUCUCUCUCUCUCUCUCUCUCUCUCUCUCUCUCUCUCUCUCUCUCUCUCUCUCUCUCUCUCUCUCUCUCUCUCUCUUUUUCUUUCUUUUAUUCUUUCUUUCUUUCCUUCUUUCUUCAUGCACAUUUAAUACCUGAGAGGGAGCAGACUAAAGUUGGAUUGCCUGGCAGUGGUCUAAAUCAAAGCCCUGGCAUUUAAGGACAAAUUAAGUCUCCCAACACAAAGGCCAAGAGAGGAGCUGUGCAUGUUGGGGAGGGAAGCCCUCUGUUUCAUUUUGCCUCUGUGGUGGAGCUGGGACCCCUGUGUCACCUCCUGUUAACUAGUGUGUAAGGCAUGGCACUCUAAUAAAACAUGCUAGACACCAAAAGGCCAAAACCCAGUUCACAGAUGUUGUAAUGUUAUGAGAUAAUUUUCAGGCCUGAAUGGGGUGAAAAGGGUGCAUUUGUUCGAAAGGGGAAUACCUAUGGAGGUCUUUUCUGUGAGCAAUACCAUGACUUCAUUACCAUGUCAAUUCUGGGAAAGGGCUCUGAUUUAACACAGCAGUUGGCUGGAUCCAUAUGGAGCUGAUGAACCUCUGAAUGAAUAGUGAAUGGAAAAACUGCUGGAAUCUGCCUUCACUUUGUUUCCAGGAUGACCAAUGUAAGAGGCCUAAGAGCUAUGCUGCACAGAUGGGGUAAAGAGGGAACAAGUCUAUAGGACUUAUUUAAUUUUUUUAGCUGAUUUGGUUGGUGGUUUUCCCUCCAUCUUUUUUAUACAUAUUUCAGUUGCCUAACUGCAUUUCCUUACAUUUAUCCGCUCAACAAAAACAAAAUGAGCUUUAGGGAAAUUAGAAAUGAAACACAAUAGCAUAUGUAGCAAUAAACAUUCAAACAGAAGAAAAAAAUUUGAAAUUUAAAGCACCCAGUUUUGUACGGUUUAGGAGUAAUUGAAAAUGUAAUUAAGAAAUCAUGAAAAAGACGAUUAAAAGUUUGAGAGAGACUUUUCCAGCUCUCCUAAAGGAGCCGGGAAUAUGCAGAUUUCCCCUUUUAUACCCUCCUAUAUGUCCGAGAAGGUUACAUGCCUUUCUGGUCCAAAGCUGCAUCCCAAGUGCCAAUACUGUAACGCAAAAGCUUCUCUGGCAUUAUCUAGUUUCCUUUCUGGCUUUAAAAGUGAGAACAGAUGUCACAAGAGAGGACAAAAUGGAUUUUACCCACCAAGAGGAGCUUUUCUUGGGAUCCUUAAUAGGAAGCUCCUUGAAAUGCUAAUGUACACAGUUUGUGUUGCUGGGUUUGCAUAGAGAUGGUGGGAAACAGCUCUGAUCUCAACAAAACCUUUUGUUAUUAAUCAAGAAAAUCUGGUCUUCUUGAAGCAGCUAAGCCUGGAAAUUGGUGUGGCUACCGGCAAUGCUGAAAUCUCUAUAGCAAUCUCCCGCGAACAAAAAUGCCAUAAAACACCCGAGCAGUCCUGUAAGAUAUGGCAGCUGGAGCCAUAAUAUAUUUUCCUGAUUUUCCCUCUACAUUCUUUACUCUCACCGGGCAUCCAUAUUUAAAGGAAGGAGUGUUUCUCAUGUAUCUUGUUCUUUAAAAUCUUGUUUUGCUUUUCAGCAAUUUCAAGAAGCAGCCUGGAAGGAGAGCCAUUAUAACAACACUAAUGAAGGAGUGCCAAGAGAUUUGUUUUUAAACACAACAAAAUUCCAUGGGCCUGCUAAUGAGCAGUCGAAUGGAAGUCAGGACCGAAGACUGAAAAGGAGGUGAAACAACUGGAUCGAACAAUUCAUAUUCUGCAUAAUCAACUCACAUUCUUGGAAGCUGAUUGUAGACUGUAACUCCAGAGGAGGAAGGAACUUCAGAAGCCAUCUAAUACAAUCCUCUCAUUUCAUGAAUAAGGAAACAAGGACCUAGGGAGGUUAGUGGAGGCCAGGUGUCAGAACAUCUCUGGACCAGCAACACUUCAUGGGAAAAGAAGAAAACUGGGCCUCAAUCCUAGGAAAUGAGGUUGUUUGAGCGUCAAGAAGAGGGGAAAGCAGGGGUUCUUAUAGCAACCUGCAAAUGGUAUGAAUCUAUGAAAGGAAUGAUGGAAUUUAUUAAGGAGAAAAUGGAAGAAGGAAAGCCCGGAGAAAAACAAGAACCUGUUCCAUAGAUUUUUGAGGAGAGGAGGUCCAGGGACUUAAGUAGCACAGGUACAUCUCAUGAAGGCUAGGCUAAGUGAGGAAAUGAGGUAGGAAUCUCAUUUGAAGGUAAUAGGAUGUAGGAAACUAUAUUUAGUGGGACAUUUAAAGAGGUUCAGGUCACUGUGGUAUCUAAUGGGGUGUUACAGAGAAAUGUACAAAGAGAAUAAGAAAGUCAGAUGAAGAGAGUAGGCAGGUAAAAAAAAAAAAACAAACCAAAGCAGAGGGACCUUCUGCACCACUUCAAUGUGUCCACUACACAAAUGCUUCUAAGUUAAGUAUGUGCCUCAUAACCCAAGACCAUAGGAAAUUAAGGACCUGAGUACAGAUAAAUGUUCUUAAUAAGAAUGAAUAAGAGUGAAAGAGGGUAGAAGUACCAAGGUUGUGAAGGAAGCAUAGUAUACUAAAAAGAAGACUGGACUUGAUUAGAAGUAGAAUUCAAUUUAAUAAGCCUCCAUUAAGAACUUUCUUACAAGCAAAAAGACCUAGGGUUGAGUUCGACUAUUGUCAUUUUCUAGCUGCUGUGUGACCUUGGACAAAUCAUCUGCUCUGACACUCAAUUUACUUAUCUGUAAAUAGCUGUAAAUCUCUGUACCUACCUCACAGGGCAGGGAGGAAGAUUUCACUUCCAAGAAUGGAAAAACAUUGGAAUGAUUAGAACUAUCCCUAAGUGGAAUGAACUGCUUUGGGGGGGGGGUAGUGGUUUUCCUAUCACUACCCAUCUGUUAUGGAUGUUGUAGUGAGAACUCCUAUUUGGGUAUGAUUUGGACUAGAUGGACUCUGUGACCCUUUUCAGCUAUGUUUCUUUGAUUCAUGGGACUGUCCUCAGAGCUAUAACUAGCACUUUUGGUUCCCAGGGCAAGCACAUUUUAUGGGCAGAGACCUCAGACCUUUUCACUGCCUGGUGUAGAGGAGACCUUAGACAUAAGGACAAAGACAAAGUCUCCUGGGGUAGUGGAUGGGGAUAUUGACAAGGGUGGGAGGAGGAGGGACUCAGGUAGAUACUGCUCUGAAAGUUACUACUGAGAUCCUCUCCAAGCGGGCAAGGAACACUGAGAACUGACUUGGGGUUUAGUCAUUGUAUAGUCUGGUAGCUUAUUAUUUAAAUUAAUUUUUCCUGCUAAUGUGGCACUAAUUUGUUUCUAUUUGCUAAAGGAAAAUGUGUUAUUAGUAUCCCCUCUAAAUUUCAAUACCCUAAUACAAAGCCUUGAUUGUCCCACCUAAUUACCACUCUGGUUGUCAUGUGGAUGAAAUGAGAUAAAACAUAUGGAAAUAUUU